rnacentral:lncRNA from 1 species
UUUAUCAUGAUUUUGUGAGCACACAUCGCAAGACAACGAUACGAUUUGAGAGAAAACCUCCAGGUUGGGAAUCGGACAAUUAUUAUUUGCUUCUUUAUAUAUUCAUUUCCAGUUGUACACAGGGGCGUAGCCAGCCUCAAGCGACUGGAUGUCUACUCGUCCGCCCAGCGGCAUACCUGUACAUUUUAUUUUUGUGGAGGUAGCCAAUCUUCAAAUGGAGCUAGGCUAUGCCACAUUCUCGUACCCAGAGCCCGUCUUACACGCGGUCAACAGAGCAUGACAUGUGACAAUGCUGUUCCAGCAACCUGUCAAGAAGAUGUCUCCUCAACAGGCUUGUAGCAAGCUUGUUAACAAGUUGUAACAAUGCUGUUCCAAUAACUUGUCAACAAGAUGUCUCUAAAACAGGCUUGUAGCAAGCUUGUUAACAAGUUGUGACAAUGCUGUUCCAACAACUUGUCAACAAGAUGUCUCCUCGACAGGCUUGUAGCAAGCUUGUUAACAAGUUGUGACAAUGCUGUUCCAACAACUUCUCAACAAGAUGUCUCCUCAACAGGCUUUGUAGCAAGCUUGUUAACAAGUGCUGACAAUACUGUUCCAACAACUUGUCAACAAGAUGUCUCCUCAACAGGCUUGUAGCAAGCUUGUUAACAAGUUGUGACAAUUCUGUUCCAACAACGUGUCAACAAGAUGUGUUUGCAAUAGGUUUAAUUUGUAGAAAGCUUGUUAACAAGUUGUGAUAAUGCUGUUUCAACAACUUGUCAACAAGAAGUCUACGCAACAGGUUUGUAGCAAGCUUGUUAAUUAACAAGUUGUGACAAUGCUGUUCCAACAACUUGUCAACAAGAUGUCUCCUCAACAGGCUUGUAGCAAGCUUGUUAAUGAGUCGUGACAAUGCUGUUCCAACAACUUGUCAACAAGAUGUCUCUAUAACAGGCAUGUAACAAGCUUGUUAACAAGUUGUGACAAUGCUCUUCCAACAACUUGUCAACAAGAUUUGUUCGCAACAGGUUUACAUGUAGCAAGCUUGGUUAACAAGUUGUAACAUUGUUGUUCGAAGAACUUGUCAACGAGAUGUGUUUGGAGUAGGUUUGUAGCAAGCUUGUUAACAAGUUCAAUGGUGUAUAACUUUAUUUUUUGACCACUUGCUAAGACAAGUUGGACAUGAAAAUUAGUUGCCGUGAAUAAAAUUCACUUGCCAUCAGACAAUGGCCACCGGGGUACCUACGUAGGGGGUAUAAAUUAAGGGGGCAAAAAGCCGAAUUGCCACCGGAUUCGAUCAUCACAUGAUUACACUGCUCCUAAUAUACCCUUUCGAUAAUUUCAUCAUUUGGCCUGGGUGCCUCGCUCUCAUGAACCGUGAGCCGAUCACUUUGGGUAAUUUACUAAUGAGAGCGAGGCUCCAAAGCCAAAAAGUAUGUUUGACGUAAUUGUCAAAACGGUGUAUUUAAAAGAAUCACUGAUUAGGAGUACCUAAAUGCAGGUUAAUUAUAAUCUUUGAAGCAGUAAUACUGAUAUAGAUCUUCCAAAACCGAGAAGGGAACUGCUGGAAAAAAAGGUUUAAAUACAGUGGGACAAAACUUUGGAACAGCCUUUCUCUUGACGCGAAAGUCGCGCAAUCUAUUUAUUCCUUUAAAAUGAAUAUCUAAAUUAGUAAUUAAUAUUAAUACUUGUGCAUGGGACAUGUGUAGUGUCCUUAAAUAAUUUUUUACAUACAUACAUACACACAUGCAUACAUACGGGGCAAUUUUCGGCUUUUGGAAGUUUUGCUUAAUUCCGAUGGCUGAAAAUGAGAAAAUAAAGUUUAUUCUUUUCAAUAUUUGAGGAGUCUUGUAUUUCUAUUUGAGGCUAUGGCUUACGAUGUCACAGAAUUAUCCGUGCAGUUGCCGAUGUACUAGGGAUUGAAGACAUGAGAUGCAAGAUCACUGGUUCAACGACACCAAUCAGUGUUGUGCGAGCUGUAUUCCAAGGCCUUUUGAGUCAGGUACGUAUAAUCUUUCAAAUCCGACUAUGAAGACUGGAUUACACACGUAAAAACCUCACAACUUGUCAACAAGAUGUGUUCGCAACAGGCUUGUAGCAAGCUUGUCAACAAGUUGUAA